GUGGGGAAUAUUCCGCAAUGGACGAAAGUCUGACGGAGCAACGCCGCGUGAGUGAUGAAGGUUUUCGGACUGUAAAGCUCUGUUGUUUAGGACGAAAGUGCCUGUUGCGAAUAGUUACAGGUAUUGACGGUACUGAACGAGGAAGCCACGGCUAACUACGUGCCAGCAGCCGCGGUAAUACGUAGGUGGCAAGCGUUGUCCGGAAUUAUUGGGCGUAAAGAGCAUGUAGGCGGGAAUCUAAGUCUGUUGUGAAAAUGCGGGGCUCAACCCCGUAUUGCGAUGGAAACUGGGUUUCUUGAGUGCAGGAGAGGAAAGGGGAAUUCCCAGUGUAGCGGUGAAAUGCGUAGAUAUUGGGAGGAACACCAGUGGCGAAGGCGCCUUUCUGGACUGUGUCUGACGCUGAGAUACGAAAGCCAGGGUAGCGAACGGGAUUAGAAACCCCAGUAGUCC
rnacentral:rRNA from 1 species